GGCAGUGUGGCAUAGCAUUUUGAGUGUUGGACUACAACUCUGAUGACCAGGGUUCAAUUCCCUGCCCGACCA